rnacentral:lncRNA from 1 species
CUGCUGUAGGCGCAAUGCUACGUUUCCCGGCCUUGCGAGAAGUCGGGUGCCUCGCGGCGAUUGGAGCUGCAGUUUCUAUUGCAGUGUCACCGGGCUGACCACGAAGGACUCUGCCAGGCGAGUGGGACUCCGACUACCCGUGAAUGCCAGGCGAUACUUAAAUACCUGUGUGGUUUGGCCACCAUUCGCAAUGGAGUUUCCUGACCUGGGGAAGCACUGUUCAGAACCGACUUGCAAACAACUAGAUUUUCUGCCAAUCACGUGUGAUGCCUGCAAACAAGAUUUCUGUAAAGACCAUUUUUCCUACUCGGGUCAUAAGUGUCCCUUUGCAUUCAAGAAGGUAACGCAUCGUCCCGGGGUCUAGACUGCAUGGACCACAGCUGGUGUGUCCAGUUGUUCCGUGCAGGCCAGAGAAGAAUGACUUAGGAUAGCCACGCUUUGAGUUUUAAAUGAGUGGUUUAUUAAGUAUAUAUAUAGCAAGGCAAAGUAAAAAGGUAGCUAGAGAGAGCGGGAAGGAGAAAUGGAUGGACUGGUAGAUGGGUCUUAAAACAUCCUCAAGGGGUUGGGGAUUUAGCUCAGUGGUAG